rnacentral:lncRNA from 1 species
CAAAAUUUGAGCUAUACAAUAAAAUGAAUUACAGAAUAAAGCACAGUAAUUGAUUAGAAUGAUUAGAGUUAUUAAAGUACCUGUACAAAAUUAUAAACAAUGUUAUAGAUAACAUAUUAAGUCAUUUUGAAGCAACUGAGACCUACAGAAAAUACAUUUCUGAAUCAAUGGGUAAACCUAGGACUAAGAGAGACAACUGUUGGUCAAAUAUUUAUUUUUCUAGUUAUCAAACUUCGAUAAUAUGUCUUGGAGUUUUAUUGGUUCUUAAAAAAGUGAUUUAAAAUAUUUUUGAAAUUCAAACAAAUCUGCUGAUGAAAUAAUAUAAAAAAUGACAUAUCAUCAGGUUACUUUUUUUUGGUUUACUCAUAAUUUUAAGACCGAUGUUGUGAUCUGCUUUCUUUAGAGAAGGCCAUUCUAAACGAAGAUAAAAAUCAUCUUCAAUGGCGUUUUAACAUAGCUUUUCGAAUGUGCAUAAGAGAAAAAAUAUAUUAUAUAUUUUAGUGUAUAUAUGGAUU